AGAAGAAUGCCCAGACUCUGUCAGGACACACCUGCAACCCAGGCUGCUCUCCUAGCACCUCUCCUGCCAUUCCUGACCCCCAACGAUGCUGCAUCCCUCCCUCCCUCAAUCUGAGAAAGAAGUUUGCUAGAUGCUAUGAGAACCCAAAACAAGAGACUACCCUCUACUAAACACUGGAAUCAAAGGCAAGCAGGAGGGGAAACAGGCUUUGAACAUAACAAAACAUGUGGCAGUCCCCCAAAAGCAGCCCUUUUAAGAUCACUGUAUGGAAGCGACGUAUGGGCUUGGAGUAAGAGACGUUCUGAACUUGAGCACCGCAUGCGACAAGAAGUUGCCCCCAGCCUUCCUGCUAAUUGGGUAACUUUAGCACAUUUUUGGUUGUCUGAGUGAGGGAAAUGCUGUAAAUUUAAGGACUUGGUAUAUCUUGAAAGAUGAGACGUUGAGGAUUAUAAUAAACACAGCUUUGAUGUCAUACAAGCAAAUCAAACACCUGAGUCCAAAUGUGCACUUCACAUUUCCAUAUCAAAAAAACUCCUGUCAUCUACAGUGUCAACGUUUAUGAUCAAUAUGUUUGAUGACAUGGGUCAUACCCUGGGUUGUUCUGAACAGAAUGAGCCUAUGAUUGUAUAUUGUGAAGAAAUGUUGCCAUGGACCACGCACCUGAAUGCACACAUGACUUUUCUAUGCGGACCAAAAUGAUGUUUCUCUGAAUUGCCCUGUGAAAGCCUACCACUAAGAUCUUAUUUUAUAACUUAGCUAGUCAUGUUGGCAAUUGAGCAAGCUUUCAAAUGAUGCCCACCUGAUCCAGAUUGUGAUUUAUAAUGGACCUAUUCGGAUUGUGUCAACAACAGUAAUUGUGUGAUGACGGUGAUACAGGGUUGUGUUCCAAACAGAACAACUAACAAGUGUCCUUGCUCUAGUUCAAGAAAGCACCUUAUAGUUGAUGACUUCUUUAUGUCAUCAAAGUGCAAUAAAAUGACUUAGGAACUGUGCGUACUUUGGAGCAGUGUGUUGCCACUUGGAGAAACCAUUUAGUCCUCUCACUCAAACCCUUGUCAUUGCUUUGUCUUAUGUUGCAUCCACCACACAUUUUCCAUGGAUAUUCUUAUCAUGUUACUGGUAAGCAUCAACAAGUGCAGCAACAAUCAAAAAGGACCAUCAAAUCAACAGUGUAAUGUUUGGAUUCAGUCUUGUGUCAGGUGAACUGUUGUGUCCUCAACUUUAGUCUAAUCAUUUUCCUAAAAUCUCCAAACUUUCCCCCUUUUCAAUUGCUACCAUGCAUAUGCUUUUCAUUUGACUUCUGUCAGAAACAUGUAAAUGUUGCCCUAUCCAUACAGGCCAAUCCCCAUGAGUUUAAAGGGUUACAUUUGUUCUGCAGAUAAAUCUAACAAUCUUGUGAAUCAUGGUACCCUACAGACCAGAUCAGUCUUCCACCAUCCCCAGCUUUACACUGUUAUACACUCUGUAUGGCAACACGGUGGCUUGGUGUACUGUUGAAACCACCGAAUAUGAUCGUUUUUCAGUCAUGUAUUAUGUUCUAUACUCAAAAUACCCCACAUUGAAGAUAUUCAGGACAUCAAGAACAACUUAAUCAACUUGGUUGUAGGAAUUUGGUAUAUUGUCAUGUAAUUCUCCAUCUAUUGCAUUGCCCCCAGAAAUUGAAAUAAAAAAACAUUUUUUAGAGAAAUAUAAUUGUGCAGUAUUUUACAAAUGC